CAUGUGGACUGAAGUUUUUGACUCCAGUCAUAAAAACCAGUCUCAACCCUUAUCUGAUCUGAAAAAUCAGAAAGAUCUGGAGACGGAGGAAGAAAAUGGUGUAAAGUUCAUAACCUCAUUCAAGAUCUCUGAGUGAAGUUGCAGAAAUGUGACAAUUUAUGUGUUGACUCAAUGGGGCGGCAACAGUGGAGAUGAGAGCGGAUCUGUGUUUAGAGAGCUGGAGCGCAGAAUUAAUCAAUCUUGUGGAUGGACUGCAGCAAGUCCUUUUGCAGUUGUAUCCAUCAAAGUGCUAUGCAGAC